ensembl:lncRNA
CCCCACACCCCCCCCCACUGACGGACAGGGCCGGGGGUGGGGCACCGUGAGCAAGGCAUGCAGCGGGGCUCGCUGCCAUCUUUGACCCUCUCUCCUCGCGAUCCACAAAACCUGUGUCGGUGCCGUCAAUCUGUGUUUUGUUUUUGUUUUUGUUUUGUUGUUUUUCGUUUUGGUUGUUUUUUGGUUUUUCCCUGACCAAGAAGGCCCACUCGAGCCCAGAGGAGAAGAAAAAGACGUGGAAGAAGAUGAAGAAGGAGAGGAAGAAAGCCCCAAAGCCCUAUUGUCCAGAUUCACGUGACUUUGACUCUGCGUUAAAAACCAGGAGGGCCAUGGAGAGAGAAGGACGUUUCAUGCCGUGGCGGGACACAGUGUCACACUUUGCUAGCAAACAGAGAGCGUAUAUCACCUCCCCUCACUCCCCCCCUCAUCCACUCAUCCACUUUCUCUGAGCCCUGUCUCCCCUCCUUCCCUCCCUCCUGCCCACCCCGCCCCACACAUCUCGUUGCUCUCCCCCCUCUCUCUCUCUCUGAUUUCUUCAGGUGCUACUCUGAAUACGAACACAGAGGGGCUUUUUUUGCUGAAUCACGGAUCACCCUAGGUGCUACAGAAAAAUCCAUUUGAUAAAACUGUAAUUAUUAUUAUUAUUAUUAUUGUUAUUAUUUUGUACAAUACUGUUCCUUUUUGAGUCCACUUCCGAAAGCUUGCAUGUGUCCCCGGCUCCUAAAAGUUUGAAUUAAUGUUUGAUAAUCUAUAUAGAAAAUAAAUUUGCAAUGAAUAUAUUUGUUUGUUUUGAAAAUGUCUGGCUAAGCCCUAAUCGGUUUUUAAAAAGUAUUGUUAUGCUAUUAUCUAUACAUUAAUGAGCUAAAAAAAUAUCCCCAAUUUGUAAGUAAAGUUCAUUUUGUAAAUAAUAAUAAGCUUUUAUUUUUGGACCCUUCAACAAAGAACAACUUAAAAUAACAUCAUGAUACAUUGCAUUUCACCAUAACCCGUUCAUGUUGUAGUGUUUACAUAUUAAUCGCUAUUCCCAUUAUUAAUUUAACCUUUAGAGACGAUAAGAUAGUAAUAUAAAUAUGGAUCAACUGUUUUUGUGCAGGAUCAACUCAAUAAGGGAAUAUUUUUCCCAAAUAGACUUUAUUCUUCCAAAAGGUAUACCUCAGUUUCUCCCAAAAAAACGGGAUGUUUUCCAUAUAUAUAGGCCUUAAUUACACAAUUAAGUUGAUAUAUGUGGGGGGAAGAUUUCUUUAUCAAAGGGAAUAAAGCCUAUUUGUGUCGUUUUAUCUGUCCAGUUUGUCUAUGAUUGCACAAAUCGAUCCUGUCAACAUCCACUUUUGUAACAAUGACGAAGUGUGUCGUGUUUUCAUGUGCUUUGGAUGGUACUUUCAAAAGUAUUAAAACUGGAUUCUAAUCAAAGCUGGGUUGAAGCUCUGUGUUGUUGCCAACCGGUGUGCUGUCAAACGCUAUCAGUGGACCGUCUCCCAUGAUCCUUUGCCUUUCACAGCCACACAUUUCCGAUUUACUGCACCGGGAUUUCAAAAGGCUUCUGAUUAGUGAUACCAAAGUAUUUGGGUUUGGUGAUAACAUUUUCUGUCCUGCAGUGUUUUGCUUCUUUCUCUGACUCCGGGGAGACUCAACAUCUCUCAGCCUCUCCAGCUCCUUGGCCUUCCAGUGACACAACCCAUCUCCAGAGAUGCCUCUUCCUCUCCCCAAAGCUGUGUCAUUAUGUUUACAACCCAUGUAAAAAACCUUGAAUAAAUAAUUGGUGCCGUGCCAAAUAAAUGCUCA